rnacentral:misc_RNA from 1 species
UCCUGGUUAACCCAGGCAGUCUCAUUAGAGUUCCCACCAUUACGUGUUGGCAACUAAUGAUAAGGGUUGCGCUCGUUGCUGGACUUAACCAAACACCUCACGGCACGAGCUGACGACAGCCAUGCAGCACCUGUGCAGCGGCCCCGAAGGGAGGCGCUAUCUCUAGCGCUGUCCACUGCAUGUCAAGCCUGGGUAAGGUUCUUCGCGUUGCAUCGAAUUAAACCACAUGCUCCACUGCUUGUGCGGGUCCCCGUCAAUUCUUUUGAGUUUCAGCCUUGCGACUGUACUCCCCAGGCGGUAUACUUAACGCGUUCGCUACGGCACAACCGGGGUUGAGUCCAGUUACACCAAGUAUACAUAGUUUACGGCAAGGACUAC